rnacentral:rRNA from 1 species
UAGGGUUUGAUCCUGGCUCAGAAUGAACGCUGGCGGUAGGCUUAACACAUGCAAGUCGAACGGAAACGAUAAAGAAACUUGUUUUUUUAGGCGUCGAGUGGCGGACGGGUGAGUAACGCGUGGGAAUCUACCCUAUAGUUGGGGACAACAUAUGGAAACGUAUGCUAAUACCGAAUGUGCUCUACGGAGUAAAGGAGCCCUCUUCUUGAAAGGUUUCGCUAUAGGAUGAGCCCGCGUUAGAUUAGCUAGUUGGUAAGGUAAAGGCUUACCAAGGCGACGAUCUAUAGCUGGUUUGAGAGGAUGAUCAGCCACACUGGGACUGAGACACGGCCCAGACUCCUACGGGAGGCAGCAGUGGGGAAUAUUGCACAAUGGACGCAAGUCUGAUGCAGCCAUACCGCGUGUGUGAAGAAGGCCCGAGGGUUGUAAAGCACUUUCAAUAGAGAGGAAGAUUAAGUCGUUAAUACCUGCUUAGUUUGACGUUACCUAUAGAAGAAGCACCGGCUAACUCUGUGCCAGCAGCCGCGGU